rnacentral:rRNA from 1 species
UACAGAGGGGGCAAGCGUUGUUCGGAAUUACUGGGCGUAAAGGGCGCGUAGGCGGCCUGUUAAGUCGAACGUGAAAUCCCCGGGCUCAACCCGGGAACUGCGUCCGAUACUGGAAGGCUUGAAUCCGGGAGAGGGAUGCGGAAUUCCAGGUGUAGCGGUGAAAUGCGUAGAUAUCAGGAGGAACACCGGUGGCGAAGGCGGAUCUCUGGGCCGAUACUGACGCUGAGGAGCGAAAAGCGUGGGGGAGCGAACAGG